rnacentral:rRNA from 1 species
CUACCUGGUCUUGACAUCCCGGAGACCCUUAGGAACUAGGGGUGCUUCCAUCUGGAAGAAUCUGGAGACAGGUGCUGCAUGGCUGUCGUCAGCUCGUGUCGUGAGAUGUUGGGUUAAGUCCCGCAACGAGCGCAACCCUUGCCUUUAGUUGCCAGCAGUUCGGCUGGGCACUCUAAAGGGACUGCCGGUGUUAAACCGGAGGAAGUGGGGAUGACGUCAAGUCCUCAUGGCCUUUAUGACCAGGGCUACACACGUACUACAAUGGCCGAUACAAAGGGCAGCGACACUGCGAGGUGAAGCCAAUCCCGUAAAAUCGGUCUCAGUCCGGAUUGGAGUCUGCAACUCGACUCCAUGAAGUUGGAAUCGCUAGUAAUCGUGGAUCAGCAUGCCACGGUGAAUACGUUCCCGGGCCUU